AAAAAGGCAUGGAACGUGUUUAGUAGAGCACUAUUUUCUAACAGAGAGAGGAAAUCAUCGGCUGGAAGUUUCCUUUAGUUCAAAUGGGAAUCGAAUUUCGCACGGGAGCUGUAUCUUUGAACGAUAUAAAGAAAAGUAGAAGAUAACGUAUCUGCACGUUACGCAGUCCGAGUGCUCAUGGAGAUUUCUGUGAGAAGUAGGGUGGUACCGCGAUAUAGCCUCGUCCCUUUU
rnacentral:ncRNA from 1 species